AGCUCAGCUCAAACCUGCCCUUGACUCACCAGGACUCCUCAGCUCAGCUUCUCAAAAUGAGGCUCCCUGCUCAGCUCCUGGGGCUGCUGCUCCUCUGGAUCCCUGGAACCAGUGGGGAUAUUGUCAUGACCCAGACUCCUGUCUCCGAGCCUGUCACCCCUGGAGAGCCAGCCUCCAUCUCCUGCAGUGUCCAGCUGGAAUACAGUGAGGAUGCAGUUUCCACUCUCCCUGCCUGACACCCUUGACUCCCUGCCUUCAUUUUUGAAAGGAUCAGAGUUGGAAAAAUCACUCAUAUGUUACCAAGAAGGUAGAAGGUUGUGCCAUGGUGUCAAGGAGAUUCCUAGAUAAUAGAGCUCCUGGUGAAUGUAACGGAAAUCCCAACUAUUUGUGAUGAGUAUUAAAUUUAUAUGCAAAUAUUUA